rnacentral:rRNA from 1 species
UACAGAGGGUGCGAUCGUUGUCCGGAAUCACUGGGCGUAAAGGGCGCGUAGGUGGCGCCCCAAGUCCGUGGUGAAAGCUCGAUGCUUAACAUCGAGUCGGCCACGGAGACUGGGGGGCUCGAGCACUGUAGGGGCAGAUGGAAUUCCGGGUGUAGCGGUGGAAUGCGUAGAGAUCCGGAAGAACACCGGUGGCGAAGGCGGUCUGCUGGGCAGUUGCUGACACUGAGGCGCGACAGCGUGGGGAGCAAACAGG